rnacentral:rRNA from 1 species
AAUGAACGUUGGCGGCGUGGAUUAGGCAUGCAAGUCGAGCGCGAACCAGUCUUCGGACUGGGGAGAGCGGCGAACGGGGUAGGAAUACCUCGGUGACGUACCUCCAGAACGGGGAUAGCGGCGGGAAACUGCCGGUAAUACCCGAUGAUCUGUCCCGAUUUUGUCUUUGGGACAGCAAAGGUGUGAUUCCGUCGGGAGAGCGGCCGAGGCCGUAUUAGCUGGUUGGUGAGGUAACGGCUCACCAAGGCGAUGAUGCGUCGGGGGUGUGAGAGCAUGGCCCCCACCACUGGCACUGAGACACUGGCCAGACACCUACGGGAGGCAG